AAAAGGAAAGAAAAUAACAAAAAAAAAAUUUUCACAUCAUCAUCCACUACUGCAACUGCUUUCUGCAGUCAGAAAUUGCAUCAGCAAGCUGGGCUUGCCUCUAAAUUGUCCCUCUGGAACCCAGGGGAACCAGCUGGAAAGGAAACAGCAGAAGGAGGAAAGAGCUGUGCAGCAAUUCCACAAGAGCAGGACGGCCCAGUGCCACAGAAAGGGAUAUAGAAGCAGCCCCAGAAACUUGUACAGCAUCACACGAAAUCGUGGUUUGGACCCGAUACCCCAAAAGCUCCUGUUCCUCAGUGGAGCAGCACUCGGGUGUUAACACUGCUCCUGAGCAGGAGCUCCUCAUUUGUGCUCCUUACAAAGCCCUUCUCCCUCAGAAAUCCCAGCACACAUUGGAACAGUCUGACCUCUGACACAAGAUCAUCUUCCCAGCCAUAAUUUGCAAAAAUCAAUGACAAGGUUUGUAGAUGUUACAUGCUUUUGGAAAGAAUCUUGACUAGUGAAGGAAAAGACAAGAUUUCCUCCUGAAAAACUAAGAUUAUCGUGUAAUGUCAACACUAAUAUCCUUCAGCAACUGGGUCUUUGACCAAAAGAGUUUCAGGAGACAGAGUAACCAGAGUAAAUGUAACUAUUAAAGAUGCAAUGUGCAGAUCAGAGAAAAAUGUUUAGUCCUGUCUCAUAAAAUACAAUCAUGCAACAGCAAGGUGACAGUGGUCCUAGAGUGAAGCAAUUUCCAAUUUCAUUCACUUUUCAGUGAAAACAGAAUAAAGACUGUAUUUUUAAAGAAUUGAAUGAAGGAACGAGGGAAAAUAUUCUAUUUUUAUGUUCCAUUUUUACUUUAGAAUGUGUUGAAAAAGGUUAAACAGUGGAGGACAGCACUAUUGAAAUCUUACUUUGUUACUCUUCUAUGCAAUUUACUCUUUCUAAUAAAAAGCAGGUAAAAAUUGUGAUUGAAUGUACAACAUUCUCACACUAUUCAAACUUAAACAUUCCACCAUUUCACACAGAUAACAGACACACCUUUUUUCCUUACAGAAGGUAAGGUGACGAGCUAUUGGUGCUGCCUCUGAUGGUGUCUGUGAUAGUAGACUAAUCUCUACCAUCAGUUAAAGUGAUUGCCAUUAAAAUCUUUAUUAGCAAUUAGCAUUACUGCUUGAGUUUCAGUUUUGCCUCUACUUACUGAAGAAAGCAAGGAAAGGCAGCAGUCCAGUGAAUACCAGUGGAUUUAAAUGGAAUAUCAAUUAAAGAAAAAGGUAAACACUGUGAUGGCCCAGUACUGUACAUAUGAGCAGCAGCAAGUAAAUGGAUAGGAAAUCUGUAAUUGAGAAAAAAAUGGCCUAUUGUGUUUUAGGGAGGGAUUUUUCUUCUACAACACUAUUAUUCAUUUCACUUCUGCAAUAGAAAUUUUCUCUAUUCUUUUUCCCACCUCAUGAAAGCUAAUGUUGAAUUUCCAAGCUAUGAUCAUCAGAAAUGCAAAACCCAGCCAAACAAAGUCACCUUGCUACACAUACCUACAAAGUCUUAUGGUUUAAAAUCUUUGCAAAGUACAACUGUAGCCCUUGUAUGCAUGACUGCAAACUUGAUGGAAAUUUCUUGUAAUAAAUACAGAAAAGGUUACAUCAGAUCUAAAGUGAGUGUCCUCUAUUUCCAUGGAUUAAAAAAUCUCAUUGCAAGCUA